CCUACGGGCGGCAGCAGUAGGGAAUAUUGCUCAAUGGGGGAAACCCUGAAGCAGCAACGCCGCGUGGAGGAUGAAGGUUUUCGGAUUGUAAACUCCUUUUGUUAAAGAAGAUAAUGACGGUAUCUAACGAAUAAGCACCGGCUAACUCCGUGCCAGCAGCCGCGGUAAUACGGAGGGUGCAAGCGUUACUCGGAAUCACUGGGCGUAAAGAGCGCGUAGGCGGGAUAGCAAGUCAGAUGUGAAAUCCUAGGGCUUAACCAUAGAACUGCAUUUGAAACUGUUAUUCUAGAGUAUGGGAGAGGUAGGUGGAAUGCUUGGUGUAGGGGUAAAAUCCGUAGAGAUCAAGAGGAAUACUCAUUGCGAAGGCGACCUGCUAGAACAUAACUGACGCUGAUGCGCGAAAGCGUGGGGAGCAAACAGGAUUAGAUACCCUAGUAGUC
rnacentral:rRNA from 1 species